rnacentral:lncRNA from 1 species
UCUAUAGAUAAAAUUGUGAUGGGUCUGGGUGGUGGCACAUGCCUGUAAUCCCAUCAUGUGGGAGGUUGAGGCAGGAGGAUCACUGUGAGUUUGAGGCCAACUUAAGCUACAAAUUGAGUUCAAGGUCACUCUGAACUUUAUAGUGAAACUCUGUAUCAGAAAGACAAGAUAAUAAUAAUAAUAAUAGCAGUAAUAAUUAUAUAAUGCUAUGUUCAAGCUAUUAUAUAUAAUAAUCUAUCAUUAACUUUAUUAAAUCCUCAGUCUGCUCAUGCAGGUGCCCUUGUUAUUGUAUAUGAAGAAAGGAAAGCAUAACAAUACUUCACCAUUUGCCCAAAGUCAAGGGGAUAAUGAACGGUGUUAUCAGAGUUCAGAAACGGAAUUUCCUUUCACAGGGAAAUGGAAGUAUACUUAGCUUAAGGAAGAAGUGAUAAGAAGAGAAGAAAAGAUAGAGAAGAAAGGAAGGGAAAGAAAUGGAUGGAAAUAGAAAUCCAGGAUGAAAAUUUUAUGAGUAGAAACCUAUGAAAAGAACCCAACUCUGUUCUAUGGUUUGAGUAUUCCUUUUUCAAAUCAAUCUCUUCUAAAGUUUAAUAUAGAAUUUCCUGCAGCAAUGGCCUUAAUUGGGGAAAAAUCAGAGACAGAAGCAAUAGCAUACCUAGUGCAUUCCACAGCAGUACAGAGAUGGGACAACCAGGGAUGGACUCCAAGCUCUGGUCAUGAAAUCCUAACUCUUGAUUUUUAGGCUUUUAAAGUACAAGGUUAAAAAAUACUAGCUCUUUCCCUGAUGAAAUUGAAUAUGAGGCAUAAAUGCAACAAGUAUAAAAAGGGUCUUUCAAUUAGCCCUAUCCUUCCAAAUCAGGCUUGAUGGUUGGAGGAAACAAUAGGUUUACUCUUAGGUUAUCACAAGCCAACAUCUGAGACUUACACAAAGCUCAAAGGCAGGAAGAAUCAGGAGAACACCUGCCCCUUUCUGUGUUCAUGACAAAGCACCAGAGAUGGAGUGAUAGAAUUUGGAUCCAAAGACUGAACUGUAGUUAGGUUUUUUGCUGUUAUCUAUCAUCUAUCUAUCUCCCUAUCUCUCUAUCUAUCUAUCAUCUAUCUAUCUAUCUAUCUAUCUAUCUAUCUAUCUAUCUAUCAUCUCUCUCUCUCUCUAUCCUCUAUCUAUCAUCCAUCAUCUAUUUAUUUGGUAUUUUUGGCUGAACUCAGGGUCUUUGCACUGAACUAAAUCCCAAGUCCUUUUUUUACUUUUAAUUUUGAG